UGGAUUUGUAUUUUAUUUCUUAUUCAUUGGAUCAAAUUUUGAAAGGAAAGCAGUUUAAGCAGGGGAUUGGAGGACAUGAAUUUAAGAAUAAAUUGCAUGAAUUCCUUAGGAAUACUUUGUAUUUGAGUUUGUGCGUUCCAGAAUCAGUACAAGAAUUGAACAAAUAGGUCUUGUGAAAAAUCUUUAAUUUAUUGAAAAUUUUUUGGGUACUUUGCUGCGGAAGGAAUAGCUGUGAACCGGACAUGUCAAAUUCAAGUAUAAAUAAAAUAAAAUAAUUUCAAAUUACACUUACCAUAAUGAUCAUUUUCUCUCAUCCAUGCAACUCUUGAAGCUGGAUGAAACAUUGCAUGAGAAAAUGGAUGAUGAUAUGGUGCUUCAUCACCAAAUGCAGUUCCUG